GACGAACGCUGGCGGCGUGCCUAAUACAUGCAAGUUGAGCGCUGAAGGUUGGUACUUGUACCAACUGGGUGAGCAGCGAACGGGUGAGUAACGCGUGGGGAAUCUGCCUUUGAGCGGGGGACAACAUUUGGAAACGAAUGCUAAUACCGCAUAAAAACUUUAAACACAAGUUUUAAGUUUGAAAGAUGCAAUUGCAUCACUCAAAGAUGAUCCCGCGUUGUAUUAGCUAGUUGGUGAGGUAAAGGCUCACCAAGGCGAUGAUACAUAGCCGACCUGAGAGGGUGAUCGGCCACAUUGGGACUGAGACACGGCCCAAACUCCUACGGGAGGCAGCAGUAGGGAAUCUUCGGCAAUGGACGAAAGUCUGACCGAGCAACGCCGCGUGAGGGAAGAAGGUUGUCGGAUCGUAAAACUCGGUUGGUAGAGAAGAACGUUGGUGAGAGUGGAAAGCUCAUCAAGUGACGGUAACUACCCAGAAAGGGACGGCUAACUACGUG
rnacentral:rRNA from 1 species